rnacentral:rRNA from 1 species
CCUACGGGAGGCAGCAGUGGGGGAUAUUGCACAAUGGAGGGGACUCUGAUGCAGCGACGCCGCGUGAGGGAAGAAGGUUUUCGGAUUGUAAACCUCUGUCUUCGGUGACGAAACGAGACGGUAGCCGAGGAGGAAGCCACGGCUAACUACGUGCCAGCAGGCGCGGUAAUACGUAGGUGGCGAGCGUUGUCCGGAAUUACUGGGUGUAAAGGGAGCGUAGGCGGGAAAGCAAGUUGAAUGUUGAAGGUACGGGCUCAACCUGUACAAGCGUUCAAAACUGGCUGUCUCGAGUGGAGUAGAGGUAAGCGGAAUGCGCGGUGUAGCGGUGAAAUGCGUAAAUAUCAGGAGGAACACCAGUGGCGAAGGCGGCUUACCGG